CAGGACCAGUGGGCCUCGAUCCCACAAACUUUCAGUUAACAGCUGAAAACCCAAUCCAGAGGGUAUUAGUCCA
rnacentral:tRNA from 1 species